rnacentral:rRNA from 1 species
UACGUAGGGUGCAAGCGUUAAUCGGAAUUACUGGGCGUAAAGCGUGCGCAGGCGGUUUUGUAAGACUGUCGUGAAAUCCCCGGGCUUAACCUGGGAAUGGCGAUGGUGACUGCAAGGCUAGAGUUUGGCAGAGGGGGGUAGAAUUCCACGUGUAGCAGUGAAAUGCGUAGAGAUGUGGGGGAACACCGAUGGCGAAGGCAGCCCCCUGGGUCAAAACUGACGCUCAUGCACGAAAGCGUGGGGAGCAAACAGG